AUCCACACGAUUGGCUCUGUCACAUGGGAAGAUGGUUAGGAACACAGACUGCAAGCCCCUGCCCUGGGGAGUCUGUCUGCUCAGGGGAACUCCCCCCAGAAGCCUGAGCAGGUGAGCACAGAGGAUGGGACUGCUCACAGGCCAUCUGCCGCCUUUGCUUUUCUUGCCACAUUUCCGGCCAGAGGCCCAGCCCACCCACAGCGGCACCAAGUGAGUGCCCAGCAGCUGUCAGCCCCUUCCCAUCCCAGCCCUUCCUCGGUGUGGUCCAGGAAGAACUCACCUCACCGGCUACUCUUCCAGGAGAGAAAUACUGUCUCAUCCCUCAUGAUGACCGCACAGGACAGGCACAGGGGGUAAUCAUCAAUGGCACCCCACUCCAGCACUCUCACCUGGAAAAUCCCAUGGAUGGAGGAGCCUGGUGGGCUGCAGUCUAUGGGGUCACUAAGAGUCCGACAUGACUGAGCAACUUCACUUUCACUUUUCACUUUCAUGCAUUGGAGAAGGAAAUGGCAACCCACUCCAAUAUUCUUACCUGGAGAAUCCCAAGGAUGGGGGAGCCUGGCGGGCUGCCGUCUAUGGGGUCGCACAGAGUCAGACAUGACUAAAGCGACUUAGCAGCAGCAGCAUGGUUUAAACAAAGUGUCAAAAUGUUUUCCAAACCAUGGAAAUACAAUGCAGCCUCCAGUUCUUAUCCAGAGGGCACUGGUCUUGCAAACCAUCAAGCACCAGUGAAUGAGCGCAGCCUUCUCCUCCCUGGACAGCGAGGGGAUGUGUCCGCUCAGAGGGGCCCCAGACCCUCCCUCAUAAACGUGUUUGCUUUUCUCACAAAACCCUACACUGGGUGACAUGACAGCUUCCCCAGUCCCUUCCUCUCAGAGGCCAGUGGCCCCAGGCCCACCCAUCCUCUAGUUUUCACAUCCUGUGUCUCCUGCAGCCCCGACACAGCAACAGCUUCUCUCAGGCUGAAAGCAUUGUGACAGCCUUUCCUCUGAGAGCCCUGCCUCUUGCUGAUCACAGACAGGCCACCCCUCAGCCUGACCAGGCAUCCCACAUUGCAAAGCUGUUCACUUUUCCCAGGUUACAAAAUAAUUCUUCAUUACCCUCAGGACAAAAUCCAGGUUUCCUCAUUGUCCUGAGGCUUCCAGUGGCCAGACCUCCCAUGCUAAGCUCUCAAUUUUUCCUUCUCACUGCACUGAAAAUAGAGCUCUUUUCUGCUUCUGACUUUUGCAUGCGCAGCUGUCGUGCCUUAGGUAUGUGUCCCCAACUUGCCAACAGCUUUCCUUCCAGAACUCAGUUUGGAGAGGAUCCUAUGGGAAGCCUUCCCCAUUCCUUGCCCAGCUGGGGAGGUGCUCAGAGGAUGCAUGUCCAUGAGG
ensembl:lncRNA